AAGGUGUAUAAUAAAGCACCCCAGGCCCUAUUGGAAGGGAGGCAAAAAAUAGAAGCAAAUGAGAGCAUCAUACACUGUGUAUAUUUUGUUCCCUGAUCCCAUGGGACUAGAGCCCAAAGCAUAAGGAUAACAUUACUGAGGGAGAGUUGUUAUCUAAUUGUGAUACAUAUUUAUAUAUUAUUCUCUUUUGUUUCUCCAAGAGGAAUCUGAUGCCUUUGAAUCUGGGCAAGCAAGUGAGGAGCUUAGCGGAGAAGCAAGUGGUGAACCUAGUGGACAAGUCAGUGGAGAGCUAGGCUGGGAGCCCAGUGGGCAAUCUAUGGGUCAAUCCAGCCUCCCCGAGGAAAGCAGUGGAAGUGGAUUUGACCCCUCAUAUGAAAUACAUUGAGGUGGAUGAAACGUCCCCCCCACUCCCUUCACAUCAUCAGCUGCAUUGAAGGAAAAUUCAAGCCUCAAAAUGAGAAGCACAACAUCACCCUUGAGAAAUGAGUGUGUAGAGCAUUAGCAAGAGUGCUGUUGAGUCUGUUAAAUUUCUAAUAUUUGUGAUUAUUCUCUUAAUAAAGUAUUUAGGGUGCAUUAUAUUCUGAAAAGUGACUGUAAAAAUGGUGACUUUUCAUUCAGUAGCUCUUCUGUGUGCAUGUAUCAAACUCAGAGUGACUGACUUUAGUGACUAAAAUAUGUUUUUUAUGUGUGUUCAUCCUGAAGAGCCAUCACAGUUCAGAAGCUGGAGUCUAAGCCUUCUUCUGCAUCAUCCACAGACUUAUUUACUAAAGUCUGGUUACACCUGUGCAAAGCCAUUGAUGGGAAUGGGACUGCACAAGUGUUACCGAGGGCAGAAUUUGUCCUGGAGUGCUUUUAUUAUUGGUGGAGAUGUAUGGGGAAAAAAGAACCCUGCUUGAUUCUUGGAGCUCAGGCUGAGUUUGCAGAGUCAGCAGCUAGAAAAAAACAACAUUUUUAUUUUUAUUAAUUUGAUCUGGAGUCCCAGAAAGAUUAUAUGCAUGGAGCCCCACAAUGCCAUUUAUACAGUCACUUUUCAAAAUAUGACCAUCCUCCAAGCUGUGAUGAAUUGGAGGGAUCUAUUGAGAGGUGAUGUGCAAUAAUUAAACUGUGACCUCUGAGAAUUCUUCAAGCAGGUAAACAUUCUGCCAUUCUCUCAACUAAGAU